ensembl:lncRNA
CCUGUUGUAGCUUCAGCAACAGAACGCAGCUGGAGGGAGAAGCUCCGCAUCACCAGACCGGACGCCUUCAUCAGUGGAGGCGCCGUGCACGCAUGACGGGAUUGUUGCAUAGGAAGACAAAGGCCAAAAUGCGAUGGUUUGCUGUUCCCCGCAUUACUAACACUUAUUGGAACAGACAGGACUGGGUUAUCAGCGAUAAGUACUUUUAUGUAACAGGGCGAGGAGGGCCGAGCAGUGGACUGACGCCGGAGCCGGAGCUCACAAAUGGGGAGUAUUUAACAGGAUGAUCUCAGCAGGAGCCGCUGGAGCCUGACGAACACCUCACCCUUUAAUUUGAUCCAAGAAGGAAAUAAGGGAGUAGUGCUGGAGCUGAGACAAGGGUUCGAUAGUAACAACCUCCCCUCCCACGAGUCACACAGCAUGAAGGGUCGGCUGCUUGUACAUGCAACGACCCCCACCCCCCCCGAAAUAAAAACGCACCAGCACCUCUCCUGCACGGCUGCAUGCAACCGGAUGCACCGGUCCUGCACGACUUUGCGCAUUAUGACCACAUGAACAAAACACGUCUGGCACAGCUGGUUCGCGAAGGGCGGGUCGUGGAGCCAAGUGGCACCCAGAUGGAGAGCCGAAGCAGCCUUCACACCCCCCCGGCCCCGAGAAGAAAACACGAGAGAGAGAGAGAGAGAGAGAGGAAGAGGGGGGGGGGGAGAUAAAGAGAGACGAAGAGAGAGAUUCCGGUCAGCUUCAGCACCGACUGACUGACUGACUGCGGUCGGGCUGGUGUCGCCCCUCCCACUGCCCCCCCCACCCGGAGGGGCUUCCCUCCCCCGACUCUCGCUUUAAACCGACUUACUCCUCUAAUACGUUUCUCCCCCUGAUCACCUAAACGGAGAAGUGGGCCUCGAGCCGCCGCUCCCCGCGCAGCACGGCGUGAACGCCAUUGUGUCGGAGCGUUAAGCUAGCGCCACAUCACCUGACUCAGCCCCACCUUGGGCCGAAUGAGUCCCCGCUUUCUUUGGAGGGGCGGGGUGGGAGGGUAAAUACACAAACACCGGCUCCGUCACUUUAACGGGUUCGUCCUUACCUGCAUAACCAGCGUACAGCCAUCUGAAAGGUCGCCGAAAAGUGCGCACCUCCCCCCGUUUGUAGCUAAACAUUAGCCUAUCUAGCAACCUUCUAGAAACGUUAGUUACUUUCCGGCUCACGCCAGUGAACUUACGCGGAGUUUAGCUUUAGCUCGUUUAGGGGAGGAAAUAAAAGUCGGUUUGCCGGCAUUUGUUUAACUCGAGAUACCCAAGUGUCAAGUGGUGUUUAUUUAUUGUCUUAUAAAUGUAUAUCGAAGUAGAAAAAACGUAAUUUUACCGUUGUUUGACUUUACUAUUUUUAACGUAGUGCAAGUUUUGGUUGUCCAAUUCAGAGAGCGCUCCAUUUUACGUGUGGUGAUGCCGUUUGAUUUUAAGAGCGAGGGCGGGUGUGACGCUCCCUUCGAGUUCACCCAAAGAAAUGAAAAGCAGCAACAUCAUUUCUUAAUCGUGCUCGUUUUGAUGUUGUUUGUGAACAACGUUUUUACAAAUUAUUGCUCAAAGAAAUUGGUUCACGUUGUAUAAUGUCAGAUUAGAUUCUGGAUUCACUUUGUGUAUUGAUUUUCUUACAUAUGUUGUAAAAUAUGAAAUGUGAAUAACAUUUAAUUUUUCAUUGCAUUAACUUAAAUAGAUAUUUUAUGAUAAGGAGAUGGUGAUGUAUUUUCUUAUAACUCGUCUUUAAGUUAAACGGUCAAUAACAUUACUAAAAAUACUUCACUAAAAUAAUUAAUUA